UUCUGCGCCGGGCGCAGUCUUCUCCGUGACUGACGAGGGACACUCCACCCACAGCCGCUGGCACCUCCUUCCCUUUCGCCUUCGCGAGCGCCCUCUGUAGCGGCACAUCGCAUCCCCUUCGCUGCUGCCGUCGCGAGGACUUCCUCCUCCGCGCAACCCUCUUUCUUGCGAUCCUCGAAGCGACUGAACGCUCCUAGCCGCCCACGCUUAUCCAUAAAAACCCUAGAAAGUAGUCUUCCUCCGUAAUCCUUGAAGCUUCACCUGUCGAUCGCCGUGAAAAUGGAGGAAAUUUGUUGCUGACGGCUUGAAUCGAAAUCAUUCUAGGGUGAGGCCGAUUCUGAACGCGGUCAUAAUUCCCUUAACGCAAAAACAAUGAGAAUGCUUCGAGGUAUUGUACUUCAGACAUUAUCUUCGCCUUCUUUAAGUGAGAUCUACAGCUUUGGCCCGUUUAACUACAACAUACAAAAACGAUGGAAGAAACCAGUAGAUUCUGCACAAACCCGUCUGGAGAGCAGAACAAUAGAUUUUACGUUAGACAAGCUGAUGAACCACUUAAAGAAGCUAAGGCAAGCACUGGGAGUUCAUGAGUUAAUGUCUAAACGUAGGGGUCACUACACGUCUGUCCAGCUGCUCUCGAAAUGGAGACAUAUGAGUGGCUUGAACACGAGUAUAGGUUCCUUUCUAAGGAAGUACCCUCACAUUUUUGAGGUGUACGUUCACCCAGUUAAGCGAAAUCUUUGCUGUAAAACAACACAAAAGAUGGUUGACUUGAUCACUCAGGAAAGUGUUGUCAUCAAAGAAACUGAACAGGAUGCUGUUCGGAGAUUGAAAAAACUUCUAAUGCUGUCCACAAAUGGGACUUUACACAUCCAUGCAUUAUGGCUUAUACGAGAGGAGUUGGGUUUGCCCGAUGAUUUCAGGAACUCAGUUAUUCCAAACUAUCCAGAUGAUUUUAGAGUUGAAGAACCAGAUACCUUGGUACUGAUAUCCUGGGACUCAAGUUUGGCAGAAGCAUCAAUUGAGAGAUGGAGGGAGAAUGAAUAUAGGGAAAAAUGGUUGAGUGAACAUGAAACUAAGUUUGCUUUCCCAAUUCAGUUUCCCACAGGCUAUAAGAUUGAAAAAGGGAUGAGAGAAAAGCUAAAGAAUUGGCAGAUGCUCCCUUACUUGAAACCUUAUGAGAAGAAGGAUGACCUCAGGGUUGGCAGUGCUACGCGAUUUGAAAAGCGUGUUGUCAGUAUUCUUCAUGAAUUUUUAAGCUUGUUGGUGGAGAAAAGGCUGGCGGUUGAAAGGCUGGCUCACUUCAGAAGAGACCUUAGUAUGGAAGUAAAUGUGAGAGAGCUAAUUCUUAAACACCCCGGCAUAUUUUACAUCUCCACAAAAGGGAAUGCCCAAACCAUGUUUCUUAGAGAAGCUUACUGCAAAGGUUCUCUUGUUGACCCCAACCCUAUUUAUGUAGUAAGAAAGAAAAUGCUAGAUUUGGUAUUGAUGGGAAGCAGAAACACUGGACAGGUGCAACAGAUGGAGCAAAUUGAAGAAAGACAUAACUUGUUAAGCAAUGAUUCUCUUAUAAAUGAUUGUAAUGAUGAUUGGUUUCUUCCAACCACUAAAGAUACUGUCGAAGGACAAAUUAUUGAUAAUCUUGACAGCAUUGGCGAGCAUUAUACUGAGGUAGAGCAGGAAUGAUUUCCUUUUCAGGAAGUUCCCAUGAGUCAUACAAAGACCAGAAGUGGAGGGAUAGCAUGCACCAUCGAGGAACACCCAACAACUCAGCUGCAAGAAGAGGUACAAUGUGGAAGUAGAGGGAGAGAGCUCAAAGACAGUCAACACAAGACAGCAACAGUAGCUCACUGAUAACUCCUGGAGCAGGAACUAGUUGACAGGAUGGAAUUCCUUGCUACAGAUCACAAGCCUUCAGAGAACCAGCUGUGCUAAUUGGAAAAGAUCAAACUGACAAGAAGUCUUUCUUGGGGCAGAUGUUUUCCUUGGCAAAAUUGAUAAUCAACCUAAAUGGCAUUCCGAGAACAGUGAGACUAAAAUGAACGUUGGGCAAAAGAUAAAAGUGCUCCCUUAUUAUUUUUUUUAAAAGGUUUUUUUUUCUGUGGUAGUUUUUUAUAAUGUGUUAAAAUAAAUUUUUAUUUAUAAUUAAAAACAUAGAGAGCUUUUUCAUAUAAA